rnacentral:rRNA from 1 species
AUUGAACGCGGGCGGCAGGCCCAACACAUGCAAGUCGAGCGGUAGAGAGAAGCUUGCUUCUCUUGAGAGCGGCGGACGGGUGAGUAAUGCCUAGGAAUCUGCCUGGUAGUGGGGGAUAACGUUCGGAAACGGACGCUAAUACCGCAUACGUCCUACGGGAGAAAGCAGGGGACCUUCGGGCCUUGCGCUAUCAGAUGAGCCUAGGUCGGAUUAGCUAGUUGGUGAGGUAAUGGCUCACCAAGGCGACGAUCCGUAACUGGUUUGAGAGGAUGAUCGGGCCAACUGGAACUGAGACACGGAGCAGACUCCUACGGCAGGAAGCAGUGGGGAAUAUUGGACAAUGGGCGAAAGCCUGAUCCAGCCAUGCCGCGUGUGUGAAGAAGGUCUUCGGAUUGUAAAGCACUGUAAGUUGGGAGGAAGGGUUGUAGAUUAAUACUCUGCAAUUUUGACGUUACCGACAGAAUAAGCACCGGCUAACUCUGUGCCAGCCGCCGCCGUAA